CCUACGGGCGGCAGCAGUGGGGAAUAUUGCACAAUGGGCGCAAGCCUGAUGCAGCCAUGCCGCGUGUGUGGAGAAGGCCUUCGGGUUGUAAAGCACUUUCAGCGGGGAGGAAGGCGGUGAGGUUAAUAACCUCAUCGAUUGACGUUACCCGCAGAAGAAGCACCGGCUAACUCCGUGCCAGCAGCCGCGGUAAUACGGAGGGUGCAAGCGUUAAUCGGAAUUACUGGGCGUAAAGCGCACGCAGGCGGUCUGUCAAGUCGGAUGUGAAAUCCCCGGGCUCAACCUGGGAACUGCAUUCGAAACUGGCAGGCUAGAGUCUUGUAGAGGGGGGUAGGAUUCCAGGUGUAGCGGUGAAAUGCGUAGAGAUCUGGAGGAAUACCGGUGGCGAAGGCGGCCCCCUGGACAAAGACUGACGCUCAGGUGCGAAAGCGUGGGGAGCAAACAGGAUUAGAUACCCGAGUAGUC
rnacentral:rRNA from 1 species